GCUUUUUCUCCCUAAGAAGCCAUUGCUCCUCUGCUCUGUCCAUGUAGCACCCUACUGGGGAAAGUUCUUCUAGGACCAGGUCCUACCCCAAAACAGUCAGCAGUGGAAAUGUGACCAUGAUGGUCAUUCUCUAGCUGAAUAGAACAGUUGUCAAAAUAUGCCGGGUACUGCUCUCUCAGAAACUAAACGACAGGGAAAUUACAGAGGCUGAAAGAAAAUGAUGUACACUACCAUCAGUCAAACGACAAUUUCAAUGGAAUAUUUUUUCUUGGUUCAACUAUUUUAAGAAAUAAACACCAGAGAGGAGCAGAAACCAUAGCCUGAUGCCUUGGAAGUGUUGCUUAACUUUGUGAUGGGAAAUGGAAUGGAGGUAAGAAAUAAAGGUAGAGUCUUC
rnacentral:lncRNA from 12 species